rnacentral:rRNA from 1 species
CCUACGGGAGGCAGCAGUGGGGAAUAUUGCACAAUGGGGGAAACCCUGAUGCAGCGACGCCGCGUGAGUGAAGAAGUAAUUCGUUAUGUAAAGCUCUAUCAGCAGGGAAGAAAAUGACGGUACCUGAGUAAGAAGCCCCGGCUAACUACGUGUCAGCAGCCGCGGGAAUACGUAGGGGGCACACGUGAUCCGGAAUUACUGGGUGUAAAGGGGGCGUAGACGGCGGGGCAAGUCUGGAGUGAAAGGCGGGGGCUCAACCCCCGGACUGCUCUGGAAACUGUACGGCUGGAGUGCAGGAGAGGUAAGUGGAAUUCCUAGUGUAGCGGUGAAAUGCGUAGAUAUUAGGAGGAACACCAGUGGCGAAGGCGGCUUACUGGACUGUAACUGACGUUGAGGCUCGAAAGCGUGGGGAGCAAACAGGAUUAGAUACCCUGGUAGUC